UAAAUAGUUGUUGACAAGAUAAUGGUCUAUUAAUGAUACUCUGUUGGUUGACACUUUUUAGACGUAAUAUUGUACAAAGAAUGGAUAUACCACUAAACUUGGAGUCAGCAAGAAAGGUUCAGAGUCUACUUAAGACUUUUAAUAGUUGUAUGACUCUGGGCAAGCCAUUCAACAUUUCCAGAGUUCAUUUUCAUCUGUUAAAGAAGAGAGUUAAUUUUAGUGGUCUCUACAAUUUCUACCAGCUCUAUAUCCAUGAUCACAUUGCUAACUUCUUGCAGGGGCAGUGAAGCAAAACAUUUGGGAUGAUUGCUUUUACCACAGCAAAAAAUCAAGACAUAUGCAAUGCUAAAAGCACCCUCAAAAUCAAUAAAAGAGCCAAUUUCAAGCCUGAUUAGCAAUAAGAUUCCUCUAAUUUACUUUAGUCUGUAAUUGUUUUACAAUCUGACCCAUGGUUUUACAAUUUGGUCCUGGAGUUCCUGAUGAUUAAGAAGCUCAUGUAGUCAUAAUGAGGGAGAAAUAUAUGUAGGGUAAUAUUUCUAAAUCCCAUUCCCUUCCCCCUUUUUACUCCUUUAAUCCAGUAGGUUAGAAUGUUGGCUGUGUUUCAAGCACCUUGCAGAGGAAUGAUGAAAAUGACCAAGCUGUGAUUGUGGUUAGUUGGGUUGUCAUGAGAGACAACAAAGCAACUGAAUACCCCACUUGGCCUGGGCCCAGGGACCUUCCAAAAGAGUCUGACCUGAGGAUCAUUCCAGCUUUGGUAUUCAGUGAUUCUGGAAUCCAGCCAUUGUGCCUCUCUUGAGCAGGAAAACGUGGAAAUAUCUUGUUUAAAAACUGAGCGGCAUGGAAUUUAUAUGAAUAAUAUUGACAGCCUCUUCUCCUUGCUUCAUCAGAAUGCCUGAGCCUGAAUAAUUGGAUUUACCUCUAUGAAUGAACAAGACAUCUGAAUAUUAAGUGUUUUUCAUCUGUUUGCCUUUCUUGAGAGGCCUCCAAGAAGGAUGUGCUUGAUACAUAAAUUCCCUUAUGAAGUUGGCCUGAACAUUUGCUAAAACCAGUCAUGGAGGAGGGAGAAAAUGACCCUGGGUUCUUGAAGUCUUAUCCAAGCAGAGUAUGAAGCCUGGGGGAUCCCUACUGAGCUGAAGAGGUUUGGAGUAUGUGCUCAGGUAUGCAUUACAUAUGUCAUGUAAAGACCAAUCUAAGGAAGUUCAGUGUGGUAGGGAGAGGAAGUACAACAGAGUGUGCAGACAGAAGAGAGCAUAAUGACUGCAGUCUGUUCCAAGAGUAUUCCCCUGUGCUGUGAGGUGAGGGGAUUGGUUUGGCAUUUCCAUUCUGGGCUAUUGUAGCCUGUACAAUUAAGGAAACAGUACUA